rnacentral:rRNA from 1 species
GAUGAACGCUGGCGGCGUGCCUAAUACAUGCAAGUCGAGCGAACAGACGAGGAGCUUGCUCCUCUGACUUUAUCGGCGGACGGGAGAGUAACACGUGGUUAACCUACCUAUAAGACUGGGAUAACUUCGGGAAACCGGGGCUAAGACCGGAUAAUAUAUUGAACCUCAUGGUGCAAUAGUGAAAGACGGUUUUGCUGUCACUUAUAGAUGGAUCCGCGCCUCAUUAGCUAGUUGUCAAGGUAACGGCUUACCAAGGCAACGAUGCGUAGCCGACCUGAGAGGGUGGACGGACAGACUGGAACUGAGACAGGGUCGCGACACCUACGGGGGGCCGCAGUAGGGACUCUUACGGGAUGGGGGAGAGGGUAACAGAGCAACACCGCGUGAGUGCUGAAGGUCUUAUGACGGUAAAACGAUGAUAUUAGUGAAGUACUAAUGUGUAAGUACCUAUGAACGUAUUGACGGUACCUAAUCAGAAAGCCACGGCUAACUCCGUG